rnacentral:rRNA from 1 species
CGUUAAAGCUUAAUUAUAUCCACACAAUCAAUUACCUAAACCACCUCAAACCCCUCCACACUACUGAAUGAUCCCAUAUAUUUAUGGAACCCCUAAUGUUAAAACUAGUAACAAUGAAGUUACCCUUCUCUAACAUGUAAAUGUACACCAGAACAGAAAAUCUACCGGUUUUUAACAGCCAUAAAACUAAGUAACACCAAACAAGAAAAUCCUACUCAAACACCUGUUAACCUAACACAAGAACAUAAAAAGAAAGAUUAAAAGAAAAAGAAGGAACUCGGCAAAUACUGAUUCCGCCUGUUUACCAAAAACAUCGCCUCCUGCUACUCUAUAGGAGGUCCAGCCUGCCCAGUGACCCUGUUCAACGGCCGCGGUAUCCUAACCGUGCAAAGGUAGCGUAAUCACUUGUUUUUUAAUUAAAGACCUGUAUGAAAGGCAUCACGAGAAUCAUACUGUCUCCUUUUUUCAAUCAGUGAAACUAAUCUCCUCGUGAAAAAGCGAGAAUAACUACACAAGACGAGAAGACCCUUUGGAGCUUAAGACAAAAUUUUAUCUUGCCCACUCUUGAAUUUACCUCAUAAUAGCAUUUAUUUUAUAAGUCUUCGGUUGGGGCAACCGCGGAGUAAAAAAUAACCUCCAAGUUGAACGGAAUUUUCCUAAACAAAAAGCCACAGCUUUAUGUAUUAACAUAUUAACAUCAUGACCCAAUAUUUUGAUUAUCGAACCAAGUUACCCCAGGGAUAACAGCGCAAUCUACUUUGAGAGCCCAUAUUGACAAGUAGGCUUACGACCUCG